GGUAGUAUGGCCGAGCGGUCUAAGGCGCUGUAUUAAGGCUCCAGUUUCCUCGGGGUCGUGGGUUCGAAUCCCACCGCUACCA